rnacentral:rRNA from 1 species
AGAACGAACGCUGGCGGCAGGCCUCAAACAUGCAAGUCUAGGGGAUGUAGCAAUACAUCACCGGCGGACGGGUGCGUAACACGUGGGAAUAUACCUUUCGGUACGGAACAACUGCGGGAAACUGCAGCUAAUACCGUAUACGUCCUUACGGAGAAAGAUUUAUCGCCGAAGGAUUAGCCCGCGUUCGAUUAGCUAGUUGGUGAGGUAAUGGCUCACCAAGGCGACGAUCGAUAGCUGUUCUGAGAGGAAGAUCAGCCACACUGGGACUGAGACACGGCCCAGACUCCUACGGGAGGCAGCAGUUGGGAAUCUUGGACAAUGGGGGAAACCCUGAUCCAGCCAUGCCGCGUGAGUGAUGAAGGCCUUCGGGUUGUAAAGCUCGUUUUACCCGGGAAGAUAAUGACUGUACCGGGAGAAUAAGCUCCGGCUAACUCGUGCCAGCAGCCGC